UGGCAUCAGAUGAAGAACGCAGCGAAAUGCGAUAAGUAAUGCGAAUUGCAGAAUUCAGUGAGUCAUCGAAUCUUUGAACGCACAUUGCGCCCUGUGGUAUUCCGCAGGGCAUGCCUGUUCGAGCGUCAUU
rnacentral:rRNA from 1 species